CUGAUUGAUUUUGGUCGCCAACGAGUGGCGGACGGGUGAGUAACACGUAGGUAACCUGCCCAGAAGCGGGGGACAACAUUUGGAAACAGAUGCUAAUACCGCAUAACAGCGUUGUUCGCAUGAACAACGCUUAAAAGAUGGCUUCUCGCUAUCACUUCUGGAUGGACCUGCGGUGCAUUAGCUUGUUGGUGGGGUAACGGCCUACCAAGGCGAUGAUGCAUAGCCGAGUUGAGAGACUGAUCGGCCACAAUGGGACUGAGACACGGCCCAUACUCCUACGGGAGGCAGCAGUAGGGAAUCUUCCACAAUGGGCGCAAGCCUGAUGGAGCAACACCGCGUGAGUGAAGAAGGGUUUCGGCUCGUAAAGCUCUGUUGUUAAAGAAGAACACGUAUGAGAGUAACUGUUCAUACGUUGACGGUAUUUAACCAGAAAGUCACGGCUAACUACGUGCCAGCAGCCGCGGUAAUACGUAGGUGGCAAGCGUUAUCCGGAUUUAUUGGGCGUAAAGAGAGUGCAGGCGGUUUUCUAAGUCUGAUGUGAAAGCCUUCGGCUUAACCGGAGAAGUGCAUCGGAAACUGGAUAACUUGAGUGCAGAAGAGGGUAGUGGAACUCCAUGUGUAGCGGUGGAAUGCGUAGAUAUAUGGAAGAACACCAGUGGCGAAGGCGGCUACCUGGUCUGCAACUGACGCUGAGACUCGAAAGCAUGGGUAGCGAACAGGAUUAGAUACCCUGGUAGUCCAUGCCGUAAACGAUGAGUGCUAGGUGUUGGAGGGUUUCCGCCCUUCAGUGCCGGAGCUAACGCAUUAAGCACUCCGCCUGGGGAGUACGACCGCAAGGUUGAAACUCAAAGGAAUUGACGGGGGCCCGCACAAGCGGUGGAGCAUGUGGUUUAAUUCGAAGCUACGCGAAGAACCUUACCAGGUCUUGACAUCUUGCGCCAACCCUAGAGAUAGGGCGUUUCCUUCGGGAACGCAAUGACAGGUGGUGCAUGGUCGUCGUCAGCUCGUGUCGUGAGAUGUUGGGUUAAGUCCCGCAACGAGCGCAACCCUUGUUACUAGUUGCCAGCAUUAAGUUGGGCACUCUAGUGAGACUGCCGGUGACAAACCGGAGGAAGGUGGGGACGACGUCAGAUCAUCAUGCCCCUUAUGACCUGGGCUACACACGUGCUACAAUGGACGGUACAACGAGUCGCGAACUCGCGAGGGCAAGCAAAUCUCUUAAAACCGUUCUCAGUUCGGACUGCAGGCUGCAACUCGCCUGCACGAAGUCGGAAUCGCUAGUAAUCGCGGAUCAGCAUGCCGCGGUGAAUACGUUCCCGGGCCUUGUACACACCGCCCGUCACACCAUGAGAGUUUG
rnacentral:rRNA from 2 species